AUACAGUAUUUGUCUUUAUCUUAUUUCACUUAGCGUAGUACCCGCCGGGUCCAUCCCUGUUUCUGUUUUUUGAGUGCUCCUGCACAUAUCAAAUAUAUUAAGUUUGCGGACUAAAGAAGAGAUUUUUAUAAUUAUUUUUAUCUUUUAUGUUAUUUUGCCAAGUGCAUUUUUUGAUAGAGAUUAUUAGGAUGUUUUAAGAUGUACACAUUCAAAAACUGAAAGCUAUAAUUUUAUUAACUUAUACAGAAAUAGUGCAAACAUACUGAAAUAUUGUAAGAUUCAUGCAAAUAACAUUUGGCAGAGUUGUAAAUAUAUACAAGUGUAGAGACAUAAGUAUCUUGAAAUGUGAACUUCAUAGAGGCUCACAGGUUUUUUGAAAAAUACUAGAGGUUAAAUAGUUUUCUCUCGUCUAUUAAGUUCCUUUUAUAUGGAAAACACUGAAGAAAACAUCAAGUUGUUUCUUUUUGAAGACAUUCUAAUCUAUCUAUGGAAGAUAAAAUCUUCAGGAAAUAUGAUGAGACCAAUCACAAAACAAAACAGCUGACAUAUGAGAUUUGAUAGAGUCUUGAUCACUGGAAUCCAAAGGCAAGUUUAUGUCUGUCUGGGUAACAUUCCAGACACAUUGGUCAAUGCAUGUAACUGUCUACUUGGCAAGCUCAGGGUGAAAUAUGGAAGUAUUUGAAGAUUAGCAUUACAGUUCUCCUUCUAAAACAUACCUCUUCCAAAAUGAUGCUCAAAACUCAUCUCAUGCAGGAUACUUCCCUGACAGUUAAGGCAGCAGAAAAAUCUUUUCAUCUUCAAACAGUGCUGUUGAGAAAUGUAUUUUCUUUUCAGAUUUACAUGAAAUAUUCAUAAAAAAGAAAUAAAAGCAGCAAUCAAAUAAAUGUCAAUAAGAAAAAAAAUCACCAUGAAAUUAUUUCUUAUGUUGAGACUUUCUAUUGGGACUCUUUUCUAGUAAUAUAGGUGUGUAUAUCCACUCAUGCAUAUAUACGAAUAUAUGCAAAUUUGACUUAAUUUCUUCCAUUCACACUGUAAGCACUAGAAUGAAAGGGAUGGGUAGGAGGAUAUGUCCACAUAGUAUUGCAUUGGAUGAAGAGAGGAUUAUUUGCAUCAUGUGGAAGGGAGGCUUGAACUUCACUUUGAUCAAUCCUGAUAAACAUGUAAAAUGCACAUAACUGGCUUCAUGACCCUGGUAAACAAAAGCUCAGGGUUUUCGUGAUGACCAGCAGCUGACAUCUCCCACCCACUUAGGGCUUAUCUUCGAUGUGGGGCAAGGUUCAUGGAGAUGGUGGACACAAUUAAAGCCAGUUUGGAAAAGGACUAUAAAGAGGAAGCAUUAGUGUGAUGCAAGACUUUGGGCUACAUGGAAUAUAGAGUGUAGAAUGUACAGGAUUUCUGAUUAAGAAAACCACAGAAAAGAGACAUCUUGUCAGAACACUUCAUCAUAUAAGAAAGUUUGCUAUUCUAAGCUGAGAGUUCAGGAAACACGUCAAUGAUAAAAUGAAGUUUGAGAACAAGUCCUAAAGGGAGUGAGGGAACAACAACUGGAAUUGAAACAGAGCAAGAUCCUGGGGGGCCUUCCCAGGAUAGAGCCCUCUGCUCUACUGCCAUGUCCUCAGCCUACCUUUCAUCUACAGAAAAACUUGAUCCGAAGAAUAAAUUUAAUUAGAGAAGUAAGAAAACGCAGAAACAAAGAAAAGCAGUCAAACAAAACCGAAUAAUAACAGUUUAGUCAUUAAGCAAAGUCAAGGACAUUUAGUUCCUCCUCAAGGGUUAUAGAUAAUAUUCUGAGCCAUAUCCUUUGACCAUUUCAAUGAUAGUGAAACCCCACCAGGUGGAUGAAGUUAACUAUGUGAUGACCAGGCUGUAGCCAUGACAUAAGCUGCCACAGUUCUGAUAACUGGCUUCAAAGAAAUGGGAACAAACCAACCCUGGAACUAAAGAUAUGUGGAGUUUUAAGACUCAAGCAGGAGGAUAGAUGCAAAAACAAACUUUAGAAGGUAUAAAUAGGCACAGUUUCACAGAAGUUUCAGGGGAAAAAGUGCAAAGAAUUAUAAAACAGUAUCCAAGUUUACUUUACAGUACACCUUUGUUUUCUUACUCCACUGUUUUGCAAAACAAAUUUUGAAAUUUUACCUUAAAAAUAUUUCAUUCCUCUAUGAGAGUCUGAUUUAUCUUCUAGAUUUAUCUUCUAGUCUUCCUGCAUUUAAAGGCAACAAAAUAUUUUAAUUUGUAUCUAUUACACCAGUAUUUGAUUUUCAGAGACUGAUCUAUUAAAGUGCUCUGAUUUUUACAUACACACUUAGCUUUGGUCUUUAAAAUCACAGCCACUUACUUUAUAUUGAGUUUAAUAAACUACUUACACCGGCCCUGGGGAAAGAUCCGUAUAUAAACAAAUGCCUUUAAUGGUGUGUAGAUGGUUCCUGUAAGCCAUUUAGAAUACAUCAAUGUUUAAAUCAUCCCUCAUGUUAAACUUACUUUAGGUCUGUAAUACAUGUACAAACAUUAGGAGGUACAUGGUUAUUUAUUUAUUUACUUUGUAUAUUUGUGCUAUCACAAAAAGUUAGGAGAUUAACUAGGAUACUCAGAAGUCAGGUUUCUUAGAAAACCAAAAUUAAAUGUAGUCUGUUGGAAGAGUAGAUGCGCAGAGGGCUUAAAGUGAAGCUGAUAAAUAGAAAUUUUUGCUACAUUGCCUAGUAUUCCCUUUAUCUGGUCCCUAGUAUCCAACUUCUUAAGCAACUCUUAAUCCUUGCUUGGUAAAGAUAAUCUAGUAAAUGCUGCCUGCAUUUGAUCUGAUGAUACUAAUCCCCCUAUUUUCUAACUUCGCUAAAAUAAAUUUUUAAAAAUAUACUGGGGGAAUAAUGGUAAAUGAAGACUCCUUUUCUUCUGGUAGUAUUUUACUUAUGGGGUUUUUUAAAAUUCUUCUUUCAAAAGUUUAUGUAUUUCUAGGAAAAGGUUUAGUUCUAAAAGUCUCCAUUUAUGUU
rnacentral:lncRNA from 1 species